AAACGCCGCGUCCCAAACACGCUCCUCUCUCAUGUCAUGUCAACUGUCUGUCUGCCACGCGUUUCACACCUAUCGACGCGCCUCACGCCACGGCCUUCCACGCUUUUCUUCUUUCCUCUCUUCUUCUUCUUCUUAUUAUUAUUAUUCUUGUUAUUAUUCUUAUUCUUCGCUUUUUCUUUCGUUUCGUUUCCAACUUUUUUUUGCAAAUUUUUCCCUUUGCUCCCUUACCCCUUCCUCCCAUCUCGUUCUUCUUUCUUCGUUACUCGCUUGGUCGCUCGCUUCCGCUGCUAUCUCGUCCUUUUCGCUGGUGUUAGUGGGGUUAAUUCGAAGGGUUCGAACAGUGGUUUUGCAAAUUCGUGGCUGUGGUGCGUUUCGAUGUUCACGGGGUAUUUAUUAUUGGUGAAGGACGAAGAGGAGAAGAAGCUGCUCGUCGAGCUGGGACAAUUUGGAAUAUUCGAAGAAGAAUCCGACGGGCAAGGCGAAAUUGGACGGCGAUAGGAGCGAUGUUUUGCUAUCAUCGCCGAUUCCGUAUGCCGUGUUUCGGACGAUCUUCGUGGGAGAGCGCGCAGCGAAGACAAACACCCAUACACAAGAAUAACAUCUUUCGCGUACCGCUAAUCACAACACUUGGAAAUAGGCUGUAACACGGAGGCGAGAUGGAAAAACAUCGGUCCCGUUAUCGCUUCCGUCGCCGCUGUAAAAAUGAUGCUCUCUCUCUCCGGGAGGGUUAAUCAAGUGGCGACCGUUGCUUUCGCUCCAAACAUUCCAACCUACAAUUGACAACAUAUUGCAAACGUAUAACGAUACAAUUUGUUCCAUCUCCUAUUUUUAUUUAUAUUUCUUUUAAUCUUACAUCUGGUGGAAUGGAACUUGGACGAGGGAUUUUUUUUUAUAAUAAACUCAAUAAAGAUCAAACCAUCGUGUCAGUCUUGUUCAUGUACAUUUUAUUUUAUUAAAGUCUCAAGAAUAUAUGUAUGUAUGUAUGUAUGUGUAUAUAUAUAUAUAUAUACAUAUGGUUACUUGUUAAAACGAAUUGUUCGAAAAGGCUUGUUUCUUCUCGGCUGUUCAUCCCCUCUAAUAUUUUACCUAACUUAAUAUGUAUAUAUAUAUGUAUAUAUGUAUAUCUGUGACGACAAUUCCGCCAUCGGUGAAACGCAUAACUGAAAAAAAAAAAGAAAAUGGUAAAAGUUUCUAAUAUAAACGCGACGCGUUUUUACAGUCUACUCUUAAAACUUACUCUUAAAACUUAACGGUUAAGGGACAUCCGAUGAAAAGGGCACUUUUUACUUUUCCAUUUCGAAAUUACUUCCGAUCGGGUUCGUUGGGAGUAAAAAAAAAAAAAAAAAAAAUAGAAGCUGAGCGAUGAAUUAUCGCGAUUUUAAUGGCACUUCGAGAGGAUUAGAUUGAUCGAAUAAUCGGAUGCGCGGUGCGUUUCGAUCGAUGAACACGAUUUUACAAUACAAAUUUAUAACGUCGUAAAACAAUCACGUUGUGUCGUGCGAUCGUUAAGUACUCUAUUUAAGUAUUACAAUUAUUUUCUAUUACGAAGUAUCGUCAUUCCUUUAUCGCACCACUACUCCUCUCGUAAUCCAUUUGCUCGACAGUUUGCUCUUUCCCCCUAUCGUUUCGAUUUUCAAUUUUUCCUACUACACUGAAUUAUCUACGCUACGAAUAAAUCAAGAAAAUUUUUUUUAUACCCGAUAAUUUAAUAACGAGUUACGAAUUUUUCGAACAAUAUUGAAUAUUAUGACUAUCAUUGUUAUUAUCAUUUUACUUUUAACGAGAAAUAUUUUGGUUUAGGAUUACCGGAGGAUUAAUCGUGCUCUGUUGAAUUACCUAUGAAAACGCAGCAAGUCUUGGCGCGAGCAAUUAUUUCCCAAAAAAUGGGAUUAAAAUUAGUCUAAAUAAAAAAA